GAAGUGCUCUUCAACUGCCUCCGCCAUAUUGUCAUUGAUUAGCUCUGUCAUAUUGAAUAUAUUUUUGCAGGUGUGACUUGCAUGGGAAAUCCUGUUUCACCCCGGGGAUGCGGGCAGACAGAGUUUGUCAUUGCCAGGGAGAAAACGUGGCUGCAUCUGAACCACCAGGAGGACAGACGGACACGUGUAUGCCAGGGAAGGGGGACUUAUGCUGAUGGUGAGAAUCGGCGCUAUCUUUCUAAAGGCAAGAGCAGUUACAGACCCACUGUUCAUUACUUUGGAUGUGUCACAUUUGCUAGUAUGACAAGAUGUAUUAUGGACGAGGAAUUUUACAGAUGGAGAGAAACAUCCAUUUUUUGUGGCUGAAAAUGUUGUCUUCCUUCCACUUUGGCUUUUGGACGUUGGCG
rnacentral:lncRNA from 1 species